rnacentral:rRNA from 1 species
AAACCAACAGGGAUUGCCUUAGUAACUGCGAGUGAAGCGGCAAGAGCUCAAAUUUGAAAUCUGGCAUCCGCCCGAGUUGUAAUUUGUAGAAGCAAUUUUUGAAUUAGUCCUUGCAUAUGUUCCUUGGAACAGGACAUCAUAGAGGGUGAGAAUCCCGUUCAUGGUGGGGAGCCUAAUUCUUUGUAAAAUGCUUUCGACGAGUCGAGUUGUUUGGGAAUGCAGCUCUAAGUGGGUGGUAAAUUCCAUCUAAAGCUAAAUAUUGGCGAGAGACCGAUAGCGAACAAGUACAGUGAUGGAAAGAUGAAAAGUACUCCGAAAGGAGAGUGAAACAGAACGUGAAAUUGUUGAAAGGGAAGUGCUUGAGAUCAGUCAUAGAGUUUAGUGAUCAACUUUCCUUUUGGUUUGUGCACUUGCUAUUCUCUAGGCCAGCAUCAGUUUGCGUGAUAGGGCAGUUUUUAGGAAUGUGGCUGCCUCGGCAGUGUUAUAGCCUAUUUUCUUAUACUAUCUUUCAGACUGAGGACCGCGCUUUUGCUAGGAUGUUGGCAUAAUGAUCUUAAGCAGC